AAAAAGCUACGGAGAGGAAGAAGAUGAAUUGGAUCUAGGGUUCUUUAGGAAAAAAAUUUAUUAGUAAAAUCAGUGUAGGAUCAAUGAAUUUGAGAUUUAUUAGAGUUGCGCAGCGGAAGCUAGGAAUGAGUAUCUUAGUGAUUGAAUUGUUUAUAUUGUAUUGUUUGAAAUGUAAUUUGAAAUAAUAAGUUUGUUGCAAAUGUUGUUACAAAUGAUUAGAGAAUACAUAUGUUUAGAUUUAUAAUUGAAAGGAUAAAUUAUGUUUGUUGUAAUUAAUAAUUUAUGAGAGUUAUAUGAAUAAGUCUUUUUCCGUCCCGUAACGCUUCGAGUUCAGAUCUCUAUAUGGAUUUCACCCUGGUCCGGAACUCGGGGUGUUACAGCUGGACUUUUUUAUGA